CAGAGAGACAGAUAGACAAACAGACAACAGCUCCUCCCAGCUCCUAUCACAGUUGUGUUUUUCUUGGCUUGUGUGGAGGAAACAGGAAACGGGAGUCCCCCACCCCAGAUCUUCUAGCACUGAAUUAAAGGGCCAUACACCGUUGAAAGAUUUAAAUGAGUGACAAAAAAAGGUUUGUCAUCUGACUGGGUGGGAUGCAAUGCUUUGUGAUCAGGAUACUUAAGCACCAUACUGUGAUCUGAUUGACGAGGACUAGAUUUCUGAGGAGAAAUAAAAGAUAUCCACUUUAAUCAAUGGGCUCAUUUGACUGGAGUAUCACAAUGCCCAGCGCAAUCACUGGUGUCCGAGGUUCCUGUGUGAUCAUUCCCUGCAGUUACAAAUUCAAAAAAUCCCAAAAUAGUGGCGCUGAAGUGAAAUGGUAUAAACUCUCCGCUCCAAAAGACUCUUUGCUGUAUGACCAAUCAACAUCCAAAAUCACUGAUAAUUUCAAAGGAAAGACAAGUUUAUAUGGAUCAAACGACAAAAACUACAGCCGCUUGAGAGGCAAUAUGA